GCGCUAACACCAACAUGGAAAAUACAGAUGAGAAAGUUCGCAUGGUGUUGCAGUGUUUGAAUGAUCCAAAUCUGAAUGACAUCAGACUGCCUGAAGGAUGUGAAAUUGAAAAUUGGCAGGAUACGAACAGUGCAGCCACCUGGGAAGACCUGGGUUCACUGUGAUCGAUGAUGUCACUAAAAUGUUGCUUCCACGUAUUCAUAAUCUGAUGCUCUGAUGUUUUUUGGUCGAAUUUGGUUUGUUGUCAGAGUUUAAUUAACUUAAUUAAGGAACUCUACACUAAAUCUGACAAUUUGCCAAGAUUUUUACAGUCGCCUUUUCAAGUUCAUUGCCUAAUCUAUUGCAAAAACAUUUUGUUUCUAUUUUAUAGCUUUGAAAUAAUGUUUUGUAGAAUAGGUAAUUUCACAGCUGGCAUGCUUGUGCUAAUACCCGAGGUAUGGGCAGUUUUGUGUAUUACAGCAUGCACUUAACAGUGAUUCGAUCAACACAUGCACUUGUUCACCAUAUUAGACUAUGAUUACAAGACAAAUCAAAGCAAUGAGAUAAAUCAAUAAGUUAAUAAAUUAAUGAAUUAAAGCAAAUUAAUGACUUAAACUUCAACUUGCUGUAACAGUAAUAGAAAUACUAGCAUUACCAGAUUGGUUUAUAAUAUGGUAUACAAUUAAUAGAAAUAAUCAUUUUUACCGAGAGACUAUAUAGCAGUUGAAAUUAAAAGAUUUUUUGAUAAGCAAUAUUUACGUGCUUUAGUUUUCUUCUGUGCAUUUGACUUAUCUUGCCUUUGUGGUUUGAAUCAAUAUUGUUUUAUGGAGAUGGACAUCCUUUG